rnacentral:sRNA from 1 species
UUCUUGCGUAAGCGAUUGCAGCGGUAUCCUUUUUUGUGCCGUUCAAAGAACGGUAUAAAAAAGAUUUAGCGGAAAGCGCGACCCGAG